AGCCUGCCUCAGUUUCUUCCUUAAUGAUGCAACCUUGGCCACCUGCAUACCUCCCUUGUGUAUCUGGAUGAUUGGCUCUGAGCUUGCAAAGUACUUUGAAUUUCUUGGAUGAAAGGAUCUCUGUAUCUGCAGGCAUGCACAUGCAGAGCAAACAUUUUGUUUUUUAACUGCUGCUUUUUGACUCCUGUGGAAUUAAAAAGAAAGCGCAGGAUAUCAGAGGAGAGGAUGGACUGUUUCUGGACCCCACAUCACAGGAAUCAGAAGAGGAUAUUCUGCUGCUUUCUGCCUUUUCAUGGAGCAGUCUAGGAAUAAGAACCUAUUUUUCUAUUUCAAGCAGUGAAGGAUUUAAUACAUGGAACUGGGUUGCAUUUGUUAAAAGAACUGGAGGAACAAAUCCAGAUGCAGCUCGCAACUCCGCAUGCUAAAAGGAAAUCAAAACUGCUUAUCUGAAACAUCUUCAUCAUCCAUUUGGAAAUGAAGAAUUCAGUCUGCUCCACUUCCAUCCCUGCAGGAAGCUACAUGGAGCUGACUACUUCUCAGUCUGGACUUGAUCUCAAGAUGAAUCCUUUGGUAAAGUUACGCCAGUCUCAUCCCAUGAAGGUCUAAAUCUUGAUUUUGAAAUUUCUGCAGUGCCUGACAUUAUCAACUGAAGCACUCCAACCCAAGGGAAGUCCACCAAGCAUCUUCUAAAUGUUAAGAAUCUCUGCUUAAUUCUUGGGAUAAAAGAUAGAUUAGAUGUUGGAUCUAUCCUCAAAGCAUUUAAAUUCUGGUAGAAGAAAUUCUCUUGGAUUCAGGUACAAUUGACUAUACUGUUCAGAAUGCGGAUUCAGGAAAGCUGAAAGAUGAUUUGAAGUGCUGCUGAAUCCAAGUGUGACUGCCAGAAAGAAUCCAGAAAAGCCAAAGAACCUGAGUAUGUCAGGCCUUCCUGUAGCCAUCACACACACUUAAAACCCUAAGAAAAGGAAUGAGGAUCAGUGGGGAAAAGAGGGCCAAUCAGAGAUAGAUACCACAAAUCUACCAUUCAUGGAGCUUCCAUUGAUGCCAUGAUGUUUCUAUGUGGUGUUAGACUAUAACCCAGGGCCUUAUGUAUGAAAAAGUGGCAGAAAGAGCAGGAGUGAUACCACAGCACCAUUUCAUCAUUUGUGAAGCUUCCCCUGUGCAUAGCACUCCCAUGUGGUACUCAUACUCAGGUUAGCACGCAUGGUAAAGUGAUUAUUAUACAAUUUAUUAAUAUCAGUAUUUCUGUUUG